GGGUGCGAUCAUACCAGCACUAAUGCACUGGAUCCCAUCAGAACUCCGCAGUGAAGCGUGCUUGGGCGAGAGUAGGAUGGGUGACCUCCUGGGAAGUCCUCAUGUUGCACCCC
rfam:Corchorus olitorius cultivar O-4 contig16633, whole genome shotgun sequence.